GAUGAACUGAAACUACAUGUGACGGUUUUUGAUCCACGUUGCUUGCGCACAUGAACCUUUGGGCGGUUAACGCCUUUUAAUCCCCAAAUUCCACUUUUUUGAAUCUUGGUCUUCAUUAAAGACCCCUCAAUUGCAGGAACCGCAUGAACCGCACUUUGUUUCCCAUAUACGGAAGGGCAAACAACUCGACUUUGCAAAGCACUCAUUUCCCUGUUAUGUGGAUAAGUUGAAGUAAAGGUCUAGAUGGUAAAAUCUGAAAAGAUUUUCGAUGAAUAAUACGAUAUGGAUCACGAAAAUGGAAGAUGAAUUGAGCUAUUGAUCGAUAUGAUGAAAGUGAAUAUUAUUAAUUAUUAUUAUUAUUUGGAUAAAAAGGGAAGGAGAUAAGAGAUUCUUUUCUGACGAUAGAGAAGCGGCAG
rnacentral:lncRNA from 1 species